GCAUCUCAUCUUGGUCCUUGCAGAUUUGCCAGCCGUUCAUCUCCAGGUACUCCUCGGCAUCGGACGCCUCGGCGUCGGACGUAUUGGCGAGAGUCAAGUUGGAGCUGUUGCUCUCUGGAUGAAGAGAAAAUUAAAAGCUGUGCUGCUGAUCAAAAAUGCCAAGUGAUCCAAGGGUCACGUAAACAGACCACCGAAGUAACAGCACGUCCCGAGUCAACAAGCUCCAAGAAUGACUGGUGCGCCAACCAGCAAGGGCUGACGUAGAAAAACAACUCGUUCACCUCGAUCUGCUUGGACUCAAACUGUCGUCAAAACAAAACAGAAGGACUCAGCAGUUUUGUACUUUAAUCGUCAUGAGGGACAGGGGAAUAAAAUGACUGAGUCAUCAGGGCCCUGGUUGUUCAAAACACGAUUAUUUGCUCAAAUCAUAGUUGUUAGUUAAAGGCAUCAUCAAAGUUAAUCAUGUGGUCACUGGUUAGUGCCAAUAUAUUCCUCAUUUUGUUCAUGUUCCAUUCAAAUUAACUGUUGGUUAAAUACACUUAAACAGUGGUUAAAAAAUAAACAGGUUUUGAACAACC